ACGAACUCUCUCCGUGGCCGCAUUCGGUCCUGUCUUCCACGUAGUAUUUUUUCUGUUGCCGGUCAAUUGUAUUUUGAAUUCGCCUUUGUUCAAGUCCCACAGCUCUUAGUCCGUACGCCCUCUAGCCCUAUUUCAAACUCUCUCUUAGCGAGUCCUUCAGUUUUUUGAAAAAGAUCGUAGAAUAGUCUUUGAUUGAGAUUGAGUCUGCUUGCUAUCUUC
rnacentral:lncRNA from 1 species